rnacentral:rRNA from 1 species
UACGUAGGAUCCAAGCGUUGUCCGGAUUUACUGGGUGUAAAGGGUGCGCAGGCGGACCUGUAAGUCGGUGGUGAAAUCUCACAGCUUAACUGUGAAACUGCCUCCGAUACUGCAAGUCUUGGAUCCAGAAGAGAGUUGUGGAAUUCCGAGUGUAGCAGUGAAAUGUGUAGAUAUUCGGAAGAACACCAGAGGCGAAGGCAACAACUUGGUCUGGUAUCGACGCUCAGGCACGAAAGCAUGGGGAUCAAACAGG